rnacentral:rRNA from 1 species
AUGGACCAGACGCGGUGGGCGGACCUCCUGCCGGACUUGCUGUGCGAGAUCGCCGCAUGGCUGGACGACGUCGCGGACUUGGUCCGCUUCCAUGCCGUCUGCAAGACAUGGCGUGCCUCACGCGACGAGGCGCGGCCGCCAUUGCUCCUGGCGGCCGAAGGCAAAGAUUCGACCCCCCUCCGAUUCAGGUGCAUCUUCUCCAAGUCCAGCUACCGGUCCAUGCUGCCGUCCACGCCACCCAUUGGGACAAGAACAAUCCCCAGGGAAUUAUCUACGGCGAUCCUACUCUACAGCAGCAGCAUCACCAACGUCAGCUACGAUCAUACCAUCAGGGCCAUGUUCACGGCGGCUCUCCUGCGCCCCGGGGACGGAAAGUGGACGCUCAUCGAGAGGACUUUCGACGACGUGAAGCACUUGGAGUGCCGUGCUGCGUACCACGGAGGCAGGAUCCUGGUCACCAUGGGGGCUGGCAGUAUCUUGCAGGUCAUCACGCCAGAAGCCGCGGUCGUCACCGGUGACUUGUUGGUCCCUGGCGAAUACGAGUGCAAGGACAGCUACGUCUUCGAGUCCCGCGGCGAGCUGUUAUGGGCAUCGGUUCGCACCUCCCGCAGUGUUUCGUACCAGGAAGGUACCCGCAACGUUGAUGCCCUAUGGGUGUCAGUGCAAAACCUAGAGGAGGAGGACGCGGCGGCGCAAGGGAAGAAGAUGCGGUGGGUGACAAAAGAUGAGUGUAGCCUGGCGGAUCGUGUAUUGUUUCUAGGGUCGCCCAAUAGCUUCGCCAUAGACGCGUCGCGGCUGCGCAGCCAUGGGGGCUGCGCCUAUUUCGUCUACGACAACAGUAAGGGUCAAUGUAAGGCCUUCCCGCCUGGACAUUGUGGCGUUUUCAGGUACAACUUCCUCAACGCCAAGACUGAUUUCGUAGAGCGGCUACCUCCAGGAUGGGACGACGAGAGGUGCACGUGGCUCGUCCCACAACCCGCUAUUGCUCCAAUUCAGGAAAUCACUAAGAGGUGCAAGGCUCUAGAAGUGAAGCAGAAGCAGCAGAAGACGGCUCCAGUUGCUAGUCUAGCAAGCAUUAUUCACAUCUCGAAACAUUACGAGCCUUGUUUCAGGGUGAUGGUGCGUAAUUUGCCUCUCACGGUGAAUAGCUCCCAGUUGGAACUUGUUUUCAGCAAGCGCGGCAAAGUGUCUACUGCCGAGGUACUGUACAACAAAGAUACCAAGUGCUCCCAGGGUGUCGGUUUCGUAACCAUGUCGACGGUGCAUGCUCAUCCGCAAGAUGCUGUGGAUGCUUUUGGCAAAAUGUUUCUGGAUGGAUGCAAUCUCGAGGUUACGCUGGUCAAGCAGGGACGGCCACGGUACCACCAACGACGUCGUCUUCCAUCGUAA